rnacentral:rRNA from 1 species
UACGGAGGGGACUAGCGUUGUUCGGAAUUACUGGGCGUAAAGCGCACGUAGGCGGAUUUGUAAGUCAGGGGUGAAAUCCCGGGGCUCAACCUCGGAACUGCCUUUGAUACUGCAAAUCUCGAGUCCGGAAGAGGUGAGUGGAAUUCCUAGUGUAGAGGUGAAAUUCGUAGAUAUUAGGAAGAACACCAGUGGCGAAGGCGGCUCACAAAGCCACUAUUGACGCUGAGGCACGAAAGCGUGGGGAUCAAACAGGAGUUAGAUG